rnacentral:rRNA from 1 species
UAACACAUGCAAGUCGAACGGUAGCACAGAGGAGCUUGCUCCUUGGGUGACGAGUGGCGGACGGGUGAGUAAUGUCUGGGAAACUGCCCGAUGGAGGGGGAUAACUACUGGAAACGGUAGCUAAUACCGCAUAACGUCGCAAGACCAAAGAGGGGGACCUUCGGGCCUCUUGCCAUCGGAUGUGCCCAGAUGGGAUUAGCUAGUAGGUGAGGUAACGGCUCACCAAGGCGACGAUCCCUAGCUGUUCUGAGAGGAUGAUCAGCCACACUGGGACUGAGACACGGCCCAGACUCCUACGGGAGGCAGCAGUGGGGAAUAUUGCACAAUGGGGGAAACCCUGAUGCAGCCAUGCCGCGUGUGUGAAGAAGGCCUUCGGGUUGUAAAGCACUUUCAGUAGGGAGGAAAGGUAGCAGCUUAAUACGCUGUUGCUGUGACGUUACCUACAGAAGAAGGACCGGCUAACUCCGUGCCAGCAGCCGCGGUAAUACGGAGGGUCCGAGCGUUAAUCGGAAUUACUGGGCGUAAAGCGUGCGCAGGCGGUUUGUUAAGCGAGAUGUGAAAGCCCCGGGCUCAACCUGGGAAUUGCAUUUCGAACUGGCGAACUAGAGUCUUGUAGAGGGGGGUAGAAUUCCAGGUGUAGCGGUGAAAUGCGUAGAGAUCUGGAGGAAUACCGGUGGCGAAGGCGGCCCCCUGGACAAAGACUGACGCUCAUGCACGAAAGCGUGGGGAGCAAACA